rnacentral:misc_RNA from 1 species
GAUGAAGAACGCAGCGAAAUGCGAUAAGUAAUGUGAAUUGCAGAAUUCAGUGAAUCAUCGAAUCUUUGAACGCACCUUGCGCCCUUUGGCCAUUCCGAAGGGCAUGUCUGUUUGAGUAUCAUGAACACCUCAACUCUCAUGGCUCGCCAUGAUGAGCUUGGACUUUGGGGGUCUUGCUGGCCUGUGGUCGGCUCCUCUCAAAUGGAUCAGCUUGCCAGUGUUUGGUGGCAUCACAGGUGUGAUAACUAUCUGCGCUUGUGGUUUUCCAUCAGAUAACCUUCAGUGAUGGAGGUUCGCUGGAGCUCAUACACGUCUCCCCUAAGCGGGGACAGCCCUUUGAAUGUUUGAUCUCAAAUCAGGUAGGACUACCCGCUGAACUUAAGCAUAUCAAUAAGCGGAGGA